rnacentral:rRNA from 1 species
GUGCCAGCCGCCGCGGUAAUACGUAGGUGGCAAGCGUUGUCCGGAUUUACUGGGCGUAAAGGAUGCGUAGGCGGACAUUUAAGUCAGAUGUGAAAUACCCGAGCUUAACUUGGGUGCUGCAUUUGAAACUGGGUGUCUAGAGUGCAGGAGAGGUAAGUGGAAUUCCUAGUGUAGCGGUGAAAUGCGUAGAGAUUAGGAAGAACACCAGUGGCGAAGGCGACUUACUGGACUGUAACUGACGCUGAGGCAUGAAAGCGUGGGGAGCAAACAGGAUUAGAAACCCCCGUAGUCC